rnacentral:rRNA from 1 species
UACGAAGGGUGCAAGCGUUAAUCGGAAUUACUGGGCGUAAAGCGUGCGUAGGCGGUUAGUUAAGUCUGCUGUGAAACCCCUGGGCUCAACCUGGGACGUGCAGUGGAAACUGGCAGCUAGAGUGUGAUAGAGGAUGGUGGAAUUCCCGGUGUAGCGGUGAAAUGCGUAGAGAUCGGGAAGAACAUCAGUGGCGAAGGCGGCCAUCUGGAUCAACACUGACGCUGAGGCACGAAAGCGUGGGGAGCAAACAGG